UACGAAGGGGGCUAGCGUUGCUCGGAAUCACUGGGGCGUAAAGGGUGCGUAGGCGGGUCUUUAAGUCAGGGGUGAAAUCCUGGAGCUCAACUCCAGAACUGCCUUUGAUACUGAGGAUCUUGAGUUCGGGAGAGGUGAGUGGAACUGCGAGUGUAGAGGUGAAAUUCGUAGAUAUUCGGCAAGAACACCAGUGGCGAAGGCGGCUCACUGGCCCCGAUACUGACGCUGAGGCACGAAAGCUAGGGGAGCAAACCGGG
rnacentral:rRNA from 1 species